CGCCACCGGCCAGGGUAGUCUCUCGAUUGGCUCCAUUAAAGGAGGGUUCAUUCUGACCAGACCCGCAAGGAUCCAGACCCCUGCUCUCCACAAUUGAAGCACAACCUGCUAUCUCAGAUGCAUAUUACCUACAUACAGCCUGAUAUAUGCGCUACAUAUAAGAAUAAGAUUCAGAGCACAAUCAAGCGGAGCAGACAUAGAAAUCCCUUUAGUUUCCAGAAUCUGCAGAACUCACGGUUGUCCAGCAACCCACACCCUUGUGACCUUAUCCCAGGAACGGUGCUCGUCAGCCACUGCCAUCCAGAUAACUUCUGCUAUUGGCAGACCUUCUUUAAAUGACCUAUUCAGUGAUGAUGACUGGAGGUGGGAGGGUUGGGUCCCCC